GACGAACGCUGGCGGCGUGCUUAACACAUGCAAGUCGAACGGAAAGGCCCUGUCUUUGUGGGGUGCGUGGGUGGCGAACGGGUGAGUUACACGUGAGUAACCUGCCCUUGACUUUCGGUUAACUUCAGGUAACUGGAGUUACUCCCGGAAAGGAGCCUCUGCUGCUUGGUGGGGGUUGGAAAGUUUCGGCGGUUGGGGAUGGAUCUGCGGCGUACGAGCUUGCUGGUGGGGUAGUGGCAUGCCAAGGCAAUGACCGGUAGGCGGCCUGAGAGGGUGGACGGCCACAUUGCAACGGAGAUACGACCCGGACUCCUACGGGAGGGAGCAGGGAGGAGGGUAGCACAAUAGACGGGAGCCAGAUGCAACAACGCCGCGUGCGGGAUGACGGCCUUCGGGUUGUGAACCACGUUCGGCUAGGACGAAGCGAUAGUGACGGUAAUGAGAGAAGAAGCACCGGCUAACUACGUG
rnacentral:rRNA from 1 species